rnacentral:other from 1 species
ACGGGGCUGUCUGGUGCGCGAGGCUUUUUAUCCCUGGGGCCAGAACAAUUCUCUCGGGAGCUGUCCCUUUCGGAGCCGUGGUUUCGGAAUAUGGCGCCCACCUGCUUGUGCAGGCCGCAGAGGAUAUGUACUGCUAGACGGCCAAGGCGGCUCCGCC